UACGGGGGGGGCAAGCGUUGUUCGGAAUUACUGGGCGUAAAGCGCACGCAGGUGGCUGAGUCAGUCGAUUGUGAAAGCCCUGGGCUUAACCUAGGAAUUGCAGUCGAUACUACUCGGCUAGAGUAUGGGAGAGGGCAGUGGAAUUCCCGGUGUAGCGGUGAAAUGCGUAGAUAUCGGGAGGAACAUCAGUGGCGAAGGCGGCUGCCUGGCCCAAUACUGACACUCAGGUGCGACAGCGUGGGGAGCAAACAGG
rnacentral:rRNA from 1 species